GCCAGAUAAGGGAAGCAGGCCUCCGAAGCCAGCAGUGGCAACCCACUUGGGUCCCUUUCAAUGCUGUGGAAGCGUUGUUCUUUCACUCUUCUCAAUAAAUCUUGCUGCUGCUCACUCUUUGGGUCUGCCCCGCUGUUAUGAGCUGUAACACUCACAGCCAGUGUCUGCAGUUUCACUCCUGAAGCCAGCAAGACCACAAACCCACAGGGCGGGACAAACAACUCCGGACAGGAGGAAUGAACAACUCUGGACGCGCCACUUCUAUGAACUUUUAUGAACUGUAACACUCACCGCAAAGGUCUGCAGCUUCACCCCUGAGGCCAGGGAGACCACGAACCCACCGGAAGGAAUGAACAACUCCAGACGCACUGCCUUUAAGAGCUGUAACACUUACCACGGAUGUCUGCAGCUUCACUCCUGAAGUCAGCGAGACCACAAACCCAACAGAAGGAAGAAACUCCCGACACAUCUGAACAUCUGAAGGAACAAACUCUGGACACACCAUCUUUAAGAACUGUAACACUCACCGUGAGGGUCAACCGCUUCAUUCUUGAAGUCAGCCAGACCAAGAACCCACCAAUUCCGAGUCUCACUUUGUUGCCUAAGCUAGAGUGCAGCGUCGUGAUCAAGGCUCACUGCAGCCUCAACAUCCUGAUCCCCAGUGUUCCUCCCACCUCAACCUCCCAAGUAGCUGGGACCACAGGUGAGAAUACAGUCCUGUUGUGCAACCCCAAAGAGGGCUCUCACUGGAAUCAAACCAGGCUGGCACCCUGAUCACCCUGAUCAUGGGACUUACGGCCUCCAGAACUAUGAAUGCCAGAUGCCUCUAGUGAGCCACCUUGAAUCACUAUUCUGAAUACAUCUUGAGUAAAAAGAGAAAAUUGCUCAUGUUUCCAUGUCUAUCUGAAUCAUGUUAUUGGACCAUGAGAGCAAGCAGCUGGAUCUCAUUCUGUCCAGGACUCCUGGAAACAGCAGCUCUAACAAAAUUGUCUUCAAUAAAUAAGUUUUUUUGCAUCACAUUUGUGUAUGUCCUGAAUGUUCUGAGCCCUUCAGAUUUGACUCAUAUUCAUGCUAAAAGAAAAAAUGCAAAUGAAAAUUGUAUAGCUAAUUAUGAGAAAAAUAAAGCAUCAUAAGAAAACCA
rnacentral:lncRNA from 1 species